rnacentral:lncRNA from 1 species
GCUCACUUACCUGGGGGCUCUAGGAGGGGAUCCCUCUCCUUCUCUUCUCCAGCUUCCAGAGGCCGCCCAUGCUCCAUCAUCAAAGCCAGGAGCAUCACCUUUCUCUAACCUUCUCCCAUAGCUAAGCUCUGGCUCCCUGGGACCACAACGGAGGAAGCCUGCCACUGUGAGGACCCAUGGGAUUGCACGGGGCCCACCCAGUUCAUCCAGCAAAACCCCUCCACCUCCAGGUCCUUAAUGGAAUCACAUCCACAGAAGUCCCUCCUGCCAUGUAAGGUGACAUAUUCACGGUUCCGGGGAUAAAGCCGGGGGCCUCUUUGGAGGCUGUUAUUCUGCCUGCCACACCCACCACAGGUCUCGAACCCCAGGGUAAACACCUUUCUGGCAUCCAGAGAGUCAUCUGUGCCUGAAUUUCUGAGAAGGAGGAGCAGUGGUUGAUAACCGUCCCCAGCAAGUUAAGUCACAUGGUGACAGAGAGGAGAAAAGGCCACGGUCGG